AAGAAGUUUGUGACUUUCUGACUGAGGAUGCCAGGUCACCCAGUGGCCUCUCUCGCAAGCUUGCAAUGGUGUAGACUAUUCUGGCUCAUCAAGAGAAGCGCUGCAGCAGUAAGGGGGACAUCUGCUCGGACUCCCUCGCCCACCCACUGCAACGGCAGUUAUGAUGGGGUCCAGCAUCCGCCUGACAUCCACAGUAUGUUUCGCCUCUCCCUGCUUCUCCAUGCUCCUACAUUAGCAAAAGGUUCUGACAGACUAACUGUAUCACCCACGCUAAAGAAGACUGCAAAGGCGGGCUCUCCAGUCUUCUUCACACCCUCUUAAAGAUGGCACCCCACUCUGCCAAGGUGCUAAGAACACCAAGAGGGACGUGGCCACAGCGGUGCAGUUCAUGCCUGCCUGAGAGGGCAGGCCGUUCUGUCAUCCUUCCCUUGAGGGCAACAAUGAUGUCAUUAACUCAAGAUGAAAUAGCUAAACUGUCUCAAGGUGUAGGAAAAGAAGAGCCCUGAGACCCUCGGUUACAUAGCAGGCUCUAAUGGAUGCUGACGGGGCAGUGAGUCCUACCGCAGUAACAAUAAGGAAGGACUUCUCUUUUCCGUCUCUGGAAACAUUGGAAGGCAGAAUAGAAGUCACAUGAUGUCAGACUGUAAAAGCAGAACUCUGCAAGAAGAGACUUAAAGGUGGCACUGGGAGGAUAGCUCAGUGAGCAGAGCGCUUGUCCUGUCAGCGCAAGGACCCAGAACCCACGUGAAAAAGGAUGGAGACAGGCAGGUGUGUGGGUCAGUAGGCAUUGCAGCCUGCAGCUGGACCACUGUGAGACCCUGUCUCAAAAAGAAAAAGUGUGGAGAGGAAGGAACCCCACAAGGAGAGCACCAGAACCAGAAGAUUUGAACACAGGGGUCUUCCCAGAGACUGAUAGUCCACCCAAGUACCAGGCAUGGAGAGAACCUAGAACCCCUGCACAGAUGUAAUCCAUGGCAGCUUAGUGUCCAAGUGGGUCCCAUAGUAAUGGGAACAGGGACUGCCUCUGACAUAAUCUGAUUAGCCUGCUCUUUGAUCACCUCCCCCUGAGAGGGGAGCAGCCUUACCAGGCCACAGGAGAUGACAAUGAAGCCACUCCUCAUGUGAUCUGAUAGACUAAGAUCAGAAGAAAGGAGAGGAGGACCUCCCCUAUCAGUGGACUUGGGGAGGGACAUGCGUGAAGA